AAGUCGUAACAAGGUUUCCGUAGGUGAACCUGCGGAAGGAUCAUUACCAAAUCCAAAAAAAACCCUAUCAACACCCAAAGCAAGUGAACUGUGAAUGGUUUCGUUCCCUCCUCUUCGGUGCUCUGCCCGCGUUUGCGCGCGUGCGUGUGCGUGUGGAGGAGGGAAUGUUUUUAUUUUUCCAACCCCUUUUCAACCUAUACAAUACCUUUCUCAAUGCUGAAAGCAAAAACAAAAAAACGAAACAUGAGACAACUUUUAACGGUGGAUCUCUUGGCUCGU
rnacentral:misc_RNA from 1 species